UACGAAGGGUGCAAGCGUUACUCGGAAUUAUUGGGCGUAAAGCGUCCGUAGGCGGCACUUCAAGUCUGUCGUCAAAGACUGGGGCUUAACCCUGGAAAGGCGGUGGAAACUGAAGCGCUAGAGUGCGGUAGGGGUAGAGGGAAUUCCCGGUGUAGCGGUGAAAUGCGUAGAGAUCGGGAAGAACAUCGGUGGCGAAAGCGCUCUGCUGGACUGCAACUGACACUCAGGGACGAAAGCUAGGGGAGCGAAUGGG
rnacentral:rRNA from 1 species